AUUAGCCCAAACCAAGGAGCUUGCUCCUUGGGGUUGUAGGACAUCUCACAUGGAGUUACAAAGGUGUUUGGUAGGCGAAGAGGUCUGGAAAGGCCCGCCAUAGCAGGUAAAAGCCCUGUAACCGAAAGCAAGCACUCUCCGAGGUGUAUCCUGAGUACGGCGGGACACGUGAAACCCCG
rnacentral:rRNA from 1 species